GGUAAAAGAAGAAACGGGUCAUAUAAAAUGGAAAAUCUUACUGUGUGUUUCUCUUUUCCCCUCUCCCUCUUCGCGUGCCCUAGCCGCGCGCUCUCUCUCUGCAAUUGCGUUCUCACUCUGCAUCUGCAAUUGCGAUUGAACGCUCUCUCUUCGCGUGCCCUAGCAGCUCUAUAAUUGCGUUGUGUCCGCUGAUGGAUAAUCAGACAUAGGAAUUUAACCAAGGAAAAUUCUAGAAGUGGAUCAGGCCAUCGCGGGUGAUGGUGAGCUCGCCUCUGGUGCCGAGGGUCAGCCUGGGAUUGGAGUUUUUAAGGACAGGGUCGUCCCGGUUGGCAAUCCACACUUCAUUGUGAUUGACAGGAGUGGACGCACCGCGGUUGAACACGAUUGCUAUGUAAAUGUUGUCUGUGGAUUGAUUGAAUUCAGGGGUGUAGAAGCGUAGGGUGAAGAGGUCGUUGGGUGAAUCCAGUUGAAAGGAUGUGUUCAGAGUGUCUCCUUGUUUCAGAGUGUCGAUGUGAGCAGAAAGAGUAACACACAUAAACACUGCAAAAUUGAUCUGGAUGAAGCUUUGGGAGUCUGCAUCAUGGGUGUUUGGAAAUGAUGAGGAUUAGCUAGAAUCUUUGGUUAAAUUCCUAUAUCUGAUUCUAGAACUUGUAGAACGGGCGAGCAGGAUGUUGUUUGAGCUUGAGCUUGAGCCCACAAAUGUGGGGAACUAUGUGCUUCUUGUUGAGAUAUAUGCAGAGGGGAAGAUGUGAAGAGAGUAAAGAAGCUGUUGAGAAGGGGCUGCUGAUUGUACCAGAUGCUGCUGGAUUGAUGGUGUACUCGAUUAGGUCUUUGGACAAGCUGAAUCCUCAAAUCAAGAUCCAUGGUUUGGUUGUGAAGCUGUUGGAGGAGAUGAUGGAGCAGUGGUAUGUGCCGGAGAUAAAAGCGGUGCUGUACGAGCUUGAUACUGAGGAGAAACAACGGGUGCUGUUGGGGCACAGUGAGAAAUUGCAGUAGAGGAGAGACCAUAAGGUUUAGCAAGAAUCUGAUGUUGUGCGAAGAUUGUCACUCAUUCACCAAGUUCAUGUCCCAAGUUUGCAUAUCGAGAGAUUAUGGUUAGGGAUAUUAAUCGGUUCCUCCAUAUAUAUAACUAUUUUGUAUGUUGAUAAUAAAAAUUAUAGUAGUAUUUGCUUUUGUGAUAUAAUUAUUGUAAUGAAAAUUUUGAAUUUUAGAGCG